GGAAAGACAACAUAGCUCCCCCCCCCAGCCAGAGAAAUAGAUGAAACUCCGAGCAGCGCGUGCGGCUGGGAAGAGCCCGAGAUGGUGGCUUUGGGUUUAGACGGCGCAGUGCUUCUGUAGAAGCCAAGGGGAAUCAGCUGCAGCGAGUUACAAAGGUACAGGAUGGAGGCUGCGCGAUGCCGGAGCAUCCCCAAAUAGCAUUAAACUGUGUCAUGGAUCAGUGUCAUGAUGACGUAUGACACACCACAAGGGAUCAUUAUGAGUGACUGGCAUAAUAGACAUGGAUAGUGGACCAAAGUCUCCUUGACAAUUCCUAGUCGUAUGUCUUGGGGGGAUAGUUUUACAAUCCUGAUCCGUUUAUUUGGAGCCAAUUCAGGGAGAAAGACACAUGAAGCACACGACCGAAUCUUUCUAAGUGGGAUGUAGACGGGCUAAUACGGCAGAAAAGAUUGCAGGGAAUGCUGAAGAGGUCAGCACUAUAGGUGCAGAGCGCUUGGCAAAACACCUGCUCCAUCCAAUUAGGCAGGACGCCCUGCUUUCUCCAUCCAGCCCGGGAGGGAUGCAGCUAUUGCCACGCAUCCCCGCGCUCCCUGCAACCCGCCGCUCCCGGCGUGCGGACAGCCCGGUUGUACCCAUCCGCAUCCGCUCCCACACGUGUGCCCCGCUGUGCAGCGCCCCGAGCCACGCUCUGCUGCUGGCGGGGAAAAAGGGAAAAGUCGCACUGCUGCAGUUCCUUGGAAGAAAGCAGGCAUUUUACAAAGCCAUUAAACCGAGCGAAGCUCAUCCUUCCGUCGUCUCUCACUAUGGGCUGGGAGAGCCCGAGAAUGUGGGGCUGCAGGCGCUGCUUUGUUCGGAGGCAUCUCCAGCUCCAGGUGGAUGUUUGGGUUUCUUGUUCACAGGGCUUUGCCUCUCCUUGCAGGUGUCCCCAGGCUGAAAAUGGGACCCUUGACCCACUGCAAGUUGUGCACUGCUCAAAACCCACCCUGGGGAGGUUCCCCCUUCACACGGCCCCUCCAGUGACGUUUAUGGCCUCUAGAACAGCCAGAGGUGACACUUAUAUUGCCAGGAGUGGAUGGAUGGUGUUCAUCCCAAAGAGCAGAAUCGUGGGACGGAAAUCACCUUUCAUCCUCACACCGCAGAACCCUCCCCCAAAAAGCAAGCAAGCAAGCAAACAAACAAAAAACCCAACAUCAAAAGCUGUCACCCCCAAGCUCUGCUGGUCCAGAUGUUGCACAAAGUUCAUGGAAAGUGUGAGCAGCGACAAAGCAGCAUCAAGCAAUUGCCUCCUGGCUAGCGUUCUCGGCAAACUCUCAUGACUAUUGACUCAAAUGAGCAGCCCAGCAACAGGGAAAGAAACCAUUCGAUUCACAGAUUAUCAAGUGAAUCCCAAGACCAGCAUCACUGUGCUGACCAAGAGGAGCAGUCUGCAGCUUCCAGCUUUGCCCACCUUGCCCAGCCUGCAGUAUCAAUAACAAGGACAAAGGUGCUUGUAUUCAGAAAAAGUGAAUGCUGUUUAGUCCACACAAAGACAGAUGCGUCCUCAAAGAACAGCUACACUUCGUUGGAGAACUGACAUUGCCAGCUUUUGACACCAGGAUUUGGAAGUACUGGUGCUAAGAGGCUGGAUCCAAUUACUCUUGUGUCGCAUGAGGACCUGCUUUAACACUAGGGAACUGAUGUCGUGUUGCGGUGCCAGGUGACUUUGUGGGCUACCCGGCAGCCUGGACCACAGAAACACUCAGAGAUGGGCCAAGAAGAGCAACACUCACUGAUCGGAAUGUCUUUCCAAAUGUGGGUGUCAGACCAUCUAUCAGGGGACACCACAUCCAGUCAUAGAGAACUCCUUGCAGCAGCAGAAGGGGAUAAGAAAAACCUUCAGUUACCCAGAUGAUCUUUUCCUUCCAUUGAUCCUCUCUACCAAGUAGGAAGGACAACUGAAAUUCUACUGGGUUAGGAUGGAUAGCCUCCAUUGUGCUACUCUGGACAUGCCCACACUGCUGACCAGGAAGAGAAAGCACAGGCAUUUACAUCAUUCCAUCGUAUAAAACCACAUCCUCUUGGCUGUCUGUUUUACACACAUCAGUCAGGGAAAGACACUCUGGAUGCAGGUCUUACCUAAUGUGCCAGACUAUGAACCAAGAGGACCUUGGUCUGAGUCUCUUUGACAUCAGGGGAAUGGCUUGUUCUAACCUUGGAUUCAUCCAAAGUCUCUAAAAGGAGUUAUUUAAGUGAAGGUAGGCGAAGAAACAAAGGGCACCUGCUUUUCCAUAUAUGUGUGGAUCCACAGACAAAAGAGGGAGGGGCAUGUGGCUGGACGGAAAUGAAUUCCCCUGUCUGACUUGAAAUCAAACUGGAAUCCACUGCUAUUUGGUAAAAUAUUUUGAGCGAAUUUUUAAAAAGGGUUGGAUUAGUUCAUUGCUAUUUGUUGUGGAUACUCUCAAAUAAAUGGAUAAAUAUGUGACUAUUUAAGAAGAAUCCUCUUUUCCAGCUUCAAAACUAUACAACUGAGAACAAAGUUUGGCUAUCUCAAAGUAAUCAAACCUAGUGCUUGAUGCUGCACUGCAACCUUUUUGCCUGAAGAGGCCAGGAAGGAAGUAUUUUCCCACACGAAUGGGUAACCUCAGUUUCAUUUUUCAGCAGCUGUUCUUGAAGUACUUGUUCGUUACCACUGGAGACACAGUGUGCCACAGCCCAGUUCUCUGUGCCAGAGAUUUACAAGUUAGGAGAAAUGUUUCACACUCAAGAGAAGAGGGAACAGUCAACCCCUUCCAUUCAUAAGGUGUAGCUUUGUCAUAUCAUAAGAUGUCUGUUUGGUCUCCAGCUUUUGCCCCGCUUACACUUUCAUUCAUUCAGGUGUAAUUGUUAAGGCAAGCCCUCUGUCUGGGUUUUACUUGUUAAAACCCGGGUGAACACAGAAGCAAAGCAUGGCAUUGGUAAUGAUGGCUCUCCUGUGUGUGUUGGUACAAAACUCCGUAAGUACACCUCUGCUUAAUGAGAAACCAAAGGUGUUCUGGUGUUCUGACAAGCGAGAACAAAUAAUAAUAAUAAAAAAAAGUUGCUAUCCUGUCAAAUACUGUGUGUAUAUCAAGGAUCUGGAAUACAAAGCAGACUUAACAGCAAUCACAUUUUGAGUAGAAUUCAGUUGAAUGUAACACCUUCUCCCUCUAAGGUUUUGAAUGUGGUAUCUUAAAGAAGAUCACACAAAUUACUCAUUCCGGGAACAAAGGCUCUUUUUUGAAAGCUGUCAGCUUGCUGACAGUUAUGAUGAGCAUUUACUUCAGGCUUGUAAAACAUAUUAAUCAAACUUGUUCCUAUAGCUUCAGUCCAAGGAGGGUUACUGUUUCUUUUAGAGAAAUGUUUUACAUAAGCGAAGAGCUCUGAAUACAUAUACACCUUGAAUGCAAACCACUUUCUAUGCCAUUCAUUUAUUCAUAAUGAAUAAAUACUAGUCUACACCAGGAUUAAGGAGAAUUGAAGCAGUGUAUGGAAAUCUGUUUAUUACAAGACUAUUUGCCAAAGACCUAUGCACCAUUCAUUGAACCCUGAAAAACAUUUGAAAAUAUGGGUUGCAUUUGCAAACUUCAAUGUAUGACAUGGAGAGCUGGCAAACUGCCUGGUUUCUACUUAAAGGAUUGUCAUUCUGGGAAAAAUAAAUUUCUCUAACUAGACAAAAGUCAAUGUUUUCAUGUUUUACUGCAAUCAAACUGAUAUGGCUGACAAUUUAAUGUCUCAACACUUAAAAUAUCUGUGGAUAAUCAGUUAUCUCAAUCAAUCAUAUCUACAAGAUUUCUCUAUUUUCAAAGCCUGUAUACAUAUGACAGAGAUAUCUAACAGUUUAUAGAAACCUUCCUAUCCUUAAUACCUCAUGAUUUCUCUUCAACUAUGCAAUUCUUUUCUUUUCUUUCUUUCUUUCUUUCUUUUUUUCUCCAUAUGCAAGAAUUUAUAAUUGCUGGGAAAAAAAAAAUCCAAUCCUGCACUGUAAUCAGAUUUUGAAACCUUUGUGUUAAUGUCCUGUUUUAUUUAAUUUUAUGUAUAUUUUAUAGUCUGCUUGCCUGUCAGAAAGAUGUGGAAAUGUGCUGGCAUUCCAGCUGAAGACAUCAUUAUGAGUGAGAAAAUGCUCAAGGCUUUUUCAAAGUGGGUGCUGAAACAUACGUUUCUCUUCUUUGACUCCAGGGGAUGCUAACAGCUGCCCCAGCAGACAGGUACCGCAAGGUCAAAGGCUAGCAGAGCUGUGCACCUCCAGGAUUUGACUGCCAGCAAAGUAGAUGGGUAGUUUCUCAAAACUAAUAAUAAAAAUAGCAACAAUGAUGAGAAGAAGAAGGAACUGACAACAAAAAUGAAAAGAAACCUGCAGGAAGUGAAUUCUGGGUAGCACAACGCUUGGCAGAGCUGAUUUUAAUAUCUGACAGGUUGAGUUCACUAAUCUUUGCUAUUCAUAUUGACGUGAAACUUCAUACAGUUUUAGAGAUUUGUAUCUAUUAAGACAUGCAGCAGUGUUUCUACAACAUGGGAACAAGUUUGCUAGCGCCUACUGUUCUUCUUCUUCCCUGAUAGAAAUUGAUAUGAACUGUUUUAAAUGCCUAACAGAUAAUUACUCUGAACACUCAAUAAAGAAAACUGCAUCUUUAGGGCCUCCUUUAUCUUUAAAAAAUAAUUAAAAAAAACCAAGCCCCAGACCCACCACCAAGACAAAACAACAUUCUUCCCUCCGUCUCCCCCCCCCCACCUUUUGUUUCUUUGAUUACUUGGAGCCUUGUAAUCAAACUAAGCUUAGUUUCAGGACCCUUGGGGCAGUAUCUCUUAGUUCCCUGUCAGACUGCGUUGCAAAACAAUCAAUCUUGCUCUUGCACUCACUUGGCGGAAGUGCCGCGACACGAAGAGCGCCGUGCUUUGCUCUUGCUGUGAAGCUACGAUGACAAAAGUUUUUAUCAGAAGCUGACUGUAUUUAGGGUUAUGAAUAUGCAAUGACUCUCAUUAGUAUUGAAGCGCAGGAGCACAGGCUGACAUCCCCCGCCACUUUUAGCUGCUGCAGAAUCGUCUAAUGAAUUGUCUUGCUCUUUCACUUGCACAGGCGCUGCUGUUAUGGCUCCCUGUUCCAAGGGGAGUUGCCCAGUUUGAGAAUACUGUUGACUGCAGAAAUUAAUUGCCAGGAACUGCUCUUGAUUUUGUUAAACAAUGUUGAGACAGUGUUUAAAUUGCCAGAACAGAAAACCAUUAAGCUCUGCACAAGACAGAGCCAUCAUGAGUGAAGGAACCUGCAUGUCCAUGUGCCAGGUGUGCCACGGGUUUGCGCGCAGUAUUGUGGUCAUAGCUGCACACGUGAGGAUAUCUCUGUGCCAGUGGAGGGUCUCAGAGACCUGGCUUCACAUUGAUUCAUUUACUGUUCUCCCAGAACAAUUUGUUCUCCUAGAACAAAUGGGGAUAAGACGGCAUUCUCCAAAUGAGCAGGAUUCCAAUACAUUGCUGUUUGAUCAACCUGUUAAUACUCUCCUUUUCCUCUGAGACUCUGCCAAACAUUUUUCAGUUCACACAUCUGCAAUCUUUUUAUGAAUAAAGCACUGAUAAGAAUGGUGCCAACAAAUGAUUAAGAUAUCUGGCUUGAUUUGUAGUAUUUGAGGAGAUGUGAAAGCUUUCAGAAACAAGUGGAAAUGCCCCUUUUUCCCAAUUGGUUAAAUUAAUUUUUUUUUUUCCUAUUCAUCUGAAAUUUCUCCUGACAUAAAAAGAGCUUUUGUGGCUCUCUGCAGAUUAUGAAGGAUGGAGUGAAUUGGAACAGAUAAUAUAUUCCAAGAAGCGUAAGUAGCAUUCUGAAAGGUGUGCGCAUACUGCAAAUAAUGAAGGAUAUGAGGUUCUCCCAAGAAGAUGUCAGCCCUGUGCAGCUCUUUAUCCAUUCAAUCAGUAAUGGAAAUGGUCCCAGUGCAAGCAGGAGGAUGUGUAUAAUUUUUACUGUGAUUUUUGGCACUGCUGCUCUAAAGUGAGCUUGGGUUACCUCUUGACCCAACCCCAGGAGUGCCUGUUCUCGUCAGCUGGAGAAAAAAUAAACAUAAAAAAACAUCUACAUGUUGGGAGUAUCAAAUACAAGAGCAGUUUAAAAUAAAUGCAGUUCUGACAAAAGUGGCUCAAGUAUCAUACAUCAAACACUUGUUACCUCUCUUGGCCUUAGUGACUGCACGUGACUAAGAAAGAGUGAGUGAUAAAAUCCGAAGAAAGAUGAAACCAAUCUGGGCCUUUUUAAAGAUCAUCAAUCAUUCUGCGCAGCCAUGAUAUUAUUAGUUCCAGUAAGCCUUGUUCUCCCAUUUUAUGGACAUCAUAAACCCCCCACCCCUCUACCAAUGCUACCAUGGGAAAUCAUUUUUAUGGGCAGCAUCUUAGCAUGGGCCAAUCAGAUCUAAUCACAUAACAAGCUACUGAAUUAUUCAACGUUCUCCCUAAUUCUGCAUUCUUCCUGCACUUUGCUGUCACUGCAGGGUUUUAAAAGUAUGUGUUUUUACAAUAUUUAUUAAGAAGAUAACCGUACACAGGAAUUUUGCUUUCUCGAUGUCUUUCAAUAAUUGCUUGUUCCCUUAGAUGGUUGUACUAUAUACACUACUGUAUAGAGAACAUUUUCUCAGAAAAGAACAGCUAUUCAUAAUGUGGCAUUCGGCUCUAAACUCUUUCGGCUUUUAAAAUACUGAGCGUAAGGACAAUAGCGAAACAAUUGUGUUCAAACAUAAAAUAUUCAGAUUUACAGAGCAAACUGUAACCAGCAUGUCUCUUAGCUGUUGCUGUGAAUACAGGGCUCACAUUGUAUAUGAAAAUAUUUCAGUUUUAAUUGCAAAUCUGUGCAGAGAUGAUUUGGGGUCUGUAAUUAGCACAUAAAUUCCAGACUUUGUGACUGCUGUGAAAACACACAUUAUUUAUGGAACGAUUAUCUAAACAUAAUUCAGUGUUUUUUUUGCUUUCAACAACUACUGUAAAAGUCUGAUUUAAUAAAAUGUGAAAAAUUUUACAUCUCUUAC
ensembl:lncRNA